rnacentral:rRNA from 1 species
UACGGAGGGUGCAAGCGUUAUCCGGAUUCACUGGGUUUAAAGGGUGUGUAGGCGGAUUUUUAAGUCAGUGGUGAAAUCUCCGGGCUCAACCCGGAAACUGCCAUUGAUACUAUUAGUCUUGAAUUCUGUUGAGGUGGGCGGAAUACAUCAUGUAGCGGUGAAAUGCUUAGAUAUGAUGUAGAACACCGAUUGCGAAGGCAGCUCACUAAGCAGACAUUGACGCUAAGGCACGAAAGCGUGGGGAUCAAACAGG